rnacentral:lncRNA from 1 species
GCUAGCUAAGCCCAUUCCCAGGUUCGACAGGUUUGUGGGACCGGUGUGCCUGCCUAAACGAGGCGAAAAGACAAGGAAAGGCCCUAUGCUUCUGGCCGGUUACGGUCGUCCCGCGUAUAAGAAGCAAGCAAAACGACUUCUCUACUACAUAACGAAGGCGCGGUCAGAUGCUGCUUGCGAAGCCAUUCUCGAUUUUGAAUGGGGAAUGUUUCCGAUGAAGAGGGACUUACUCAUUUGCACCAAACACCCUAAGGCGAUGAUGUUUAAGGGAGACUCUGGGAGCCCCCUCACAGCCUAUUCUCGCCGUGGACGAUCCACGCAGUACGGUAUUGCGUCAUUCGUUAGGGCCAGCAACAGAGGCUGUGCCCCGACAGUAAACACUCGCGUCUCGAUGUUCAUGGACUGGAUAAAA